rnacentral:rRNA from 1 species
UCCUUUGACGCGAAAGACCUUACCUUGUCUGGACCUUCACGAAAAUUCUCGAGGUUGAGUGGUGCCUUUGGGGACUUUGAAACAGGUGGUGCAUGGGUGUUGUCAACUCGUGUUGGGAAAUGUUGGGUUUAGUCCCCGCACGAACGCAAACCUUUAUCUUAUUUUCCAGCACGUAAGGCUGGGAACUCUAGGGAGACUGCCGGUGAUAAACCGGAGGAAGGUGGGGAGGACGUCAAGUCAUCAUGGCCCUUACGGGUAGGGCUACACACGUGCUACAAUGGCGCGUACAAAGGGUUGCAACCCCGCGAGAGGGAGCUAAUCUCACAAAUCUCGUCGUAGUCCGGAUUGGAGUCUGCAACUCGACUCCAUGAAGUCGGAAUCGCUAGUAAUCGUGACCAGAUAACCCAUUCCCU